CCUAGAUAGAUGGAAUGUGAGUGUUCACACAGAUUGUCUGAUGAAGAUUGAGCAGAAAGUAUCAUUAGGCCUGUAGCUCAGGUGGUUAGAGCGCACCCCUGAUAAGGGUGAGGUCGGUGGUUCAAGUCCACUCAGGCCUACCAACAUUGCUGAUGGAAGUGGCUGAAAGGCAAGGUUAGCAGUAAGGUGUAAUGAUACGACAAUCUUAAUGGGGCUGUAGCUCAGCUGGGAGAGCGCCUGCUUUGCACGCAGGAGGUCAGCGGUUCGAUCCCGCUUAGCUCCACCAUAUUGCAAGAUAAAAAUAGAAAAAAAGUUAUUCAGAGCAGGCUGGCAACAGUAUGCUACGAAUAAUAAUGCUCUUUAACAAUCUGGAACAAGCUGAAAAUUGAAACACACAUUAUUGAAAAAAUAGUGUGGGGAACUCUCAAACUCCAAUUUGAAGUGUUAUUCAAAUAGGCAGACGAAUGGCAUGAGCGAGCAGGGUGAAAUUUGCGGCGUAGGUGCGCAGUCAGCGCAGUGUACAUAAGUACGUGAGCAUGACGAGUACCGCACAACAAAAAAUUUCGCACGGCGCAGCCAUGGCGCUUCCGUAUUAUUUGAUAAGAGACACCUUCGGGUUGUGA
rnacentral:misc_RNA from 1 species